GAUAAACGCUGGCGGCGUGCCUAAUGCAUGCAAGUCGAACGGUCUAGUUUCUUCGGAAGCUAGGUAGUGGCAAACGGGUGAGUAACACGUGGGGAUCUGCCCAGUAGUGGGGAACAACUCCGAGAAAUCGGAGCUAAUACCGCAUACGGUAGGUGUUGAAGGACACCAUACUAAAGCCGACGUAAGAAGGCGCUAUUGGAGGAACCUGCGGCUGAUUAGCUAGUUGGUGGGGUAAAGGCCUACCAAGGCGAUGAUCAGUAGCUGGUCUGAGAGGACGGACAGCCACACUGGGACUGAGAUACGGCCCAGACUCCUACGGGAGGCAGCAGCAAGGAAUUUUCGUCAAUGGGGGAAACCCU
rnacentral:rRNA from 1 species